rnacentral:rRNA from 1 species
UUAAGCGACUAAGCGUACACGGUGGAUGCCUAGGCAGUCAGAGGCGAUGAAGGGCGUGCUAAUCUGCGAAAAGCGUCGGUAAGGUGAUAUGAACCGUUAUAACCGACGAUACCCGAAUGGGGAAACCCAGUGCAAUUCGUUGCACUAUUGCAUGGUGAAUACAUAGCCAUGCAAGGCGAACCGGGGGAACUGAAACAUCUAAGUACCCCGAGGAAAAGAAAUCAACCGAGAUUCCCCCAGUAGCGGCGAGCGAACGGGGAGGAGCCCAGAACCUGAAUCAGCGUAUGUGUUAGUGGAAGCGUCUGGAAAGUCGCACGGUACAGGGUGAUAGUCCCGUACACAAAAAUGCCUAUGUUGUGAGUUCGAUGAGUAGGGCGGGACACGUGACAUCCUGUCUGAAUAUGGGGGGACCAUCCUCCAAGGCUAAAUACUCCUGACUGACCGAUAGUGAACCAGUACCGUGAGGGAAAGGCGAAAAGAACCCCGGCGAGGGGAGUGAAACAGAACCUGAAACCGUGUACGUACAAGCAGUGGGAGCACCUUCGUGGUGUGACUGCGUACCUUUUGUAUAAUGGGUCAGCGACUUAUAUUUUGUAGCAAGGUUAACCGAAUAGGGGAGCCGUAGGGAAACCGAGUCUUAACUGGGCGUCUAGUUGCAAGGUAUAGACCCGAAACCCGGUGAUCUAGCCAUGGGCAGGUUGAAGGUUGGGUAACACUAACUGGAGGACCGAACCGACUAAUGUUGAAAAAUUAGCGGAUGACUUGUGGCUGGGGGUGAAAGGCCAAUCAAACCGGGAGAUAGCUGGUUCUCCCCGAAAGCUAUUUAGGUAGCGCCUCGUGAACUCAUCUUCGGGGGUAGAGCACUGUUUCGGCUAGGGGGUCAUCCCGACUUACCAAACCGAUGCAAACUCCGAAUACCGAAGAAUGUUAUCACGGGAGACACACGGCGGGUGCUAACGUCCGUCGUGAAGAGGGAAACAACCCAGACCGCCAGCUAAGGUCCCAAAGUCAUGGUUAAGUGGGAAACGAUGUGGGAAGGCACAGACAGCCAGGAUGUUGGCUUAGAAGCAGCCAUCAUUUAAAGAAAGCGUAAUAGCUCACUGGUCGAGUCGGCCUGCGCGGAAGAUGUAACGGGGCUAAACCAUGCACCGAAGCUGCGGCAGNNNNNNNNNNNNNNNNNNNNNNNNNNNNNNNNNNNNNNNNNNAAGCCACACUAAACGUUGAGUUGGCCGGUGUGCUGACAAACGAACAGGCGUUUUAAGGAUACGUUCGUUGGGUAGGGGAGCGUUCUGUAAGCCGUUGAAGGUGGCCUGUGAGGGUUGCUGGAGGUAUCAGAAGUGCGAAUGCUGACAUAAGUAACGAUAAUGCGGGUGAAAAACCCGCACGCCGGAAGACCAAGGGUUCCUGUCCAACGUUAAUCGGGGCAGGGUGAGUCGACCCCUAAGGCGAGGCUGAAAAGCGUAGUCGAUGGGAAACAGGUUAAUAUUCCUGUACUUGGUGUUACUGCGAAGGGGGGACGGAGAAGGCUAGGCUAGCCGGGCGACGGUUGUCCCGGUUUAAGCAUGUAGGCGGAGUGACCAGGUAAAUCCGGUUGCUUAUCAACGCUGAGGUGUGAUGACGAUGCACUACGGUGCAGAAGUAGUUGAUGCCAUGCUUCCAGGAAAAGCCUCUAAGCAUCAGGUAACAUGAAAUCGUACCCCAAACCGACACAGGUGGUCAGGUAGAGAAUACUCAGGCGCUUGAGAGAACUCGGGUGAAGGAACUAGGCAAAAUGGUGCCGUAACUUCGGGAGAAGGCACGCUGGCAUUAGGUAAAGGGACUUGCUCCCGGCGCCGAAGCCAGUCGCAGAUACCAGCUGGCUGCAACUGUUUAAUAAAAACACAGCACUGUGCAAACACGAAAGUGGACGUAUACGGUGUGACGCCUGCCCGGUGCUGGAAGGUUAAUUGAUGGGGUCAGCCGCAAGGCGAAGCUCUUGAUCGAAGCCCCAGUAAACGGCGGCCGUAACUAUAACGGUCCUAAGGUAGCGAAAUUCCUUGUCGGGUAAGUUCCGACCUGCACGAAUGGCGUAAUGAUGGCCAGGCUGUCUCCACCCGAGACUCAGUGAAAUUGAACUCGCUGUGAAGAUGCAGUGUACCCGCGGCAAGACGGAAAGACCCCGUGAACCUUUACUAUAGCUUGACACUGAACAUUGAGCCUUGAUGUGUAGGAUAGGUGGGAGGCAUAGAAGUGUGGACGCCAGUCUGCAUGGAGCCAACCUUGAAAUACCACCCUUUAAUGUUUGAUGUUCUAACUCGGCCCCGUAAUCCGGGGUGAGGACAGUGUCUGGUGGGUAGUUUGACUGGGGCGGUCUCCUCCCAAAGAGUAACGGAGGAGCAC